CUUUUGGCUAAGAUUAAGUGUAGUAUCUGUUCUUAUCAGUUUA
rnacentral:snRNA from 1 species